CCUANGGGAGGCAGCAGUCGAGAAUAUUCGUCAAUGGGCGAAAGCCUGAACGAGCGACACCGCGUGUAGGAAGACGGUCUUCGGAUUGUAAACUACUUUUCUAGGGGAUGAAUCUUCGGAUGACAGUACCCUAGGAAUAAGGAGGUCCUAACUCUGUGCCAGCAGGAGCGGUAAUACAGAGCCUCCAAGCGUUAUCCGGAUUUAUUGGGCGUAAAGGGUCCGUAGGUGUCUUGCCAAGUUUUCUGUUAAAUUUCCAGAGCUCAACUUUGGAACUGCAGAAAAAACUGGCGAGAUUGAGGGCACUAGGAGUUGAAGGAACGGUCGGUGUAGGGGUGAAAUCCGUUGAUAUCGACCGGAACACCAAAAGCGAAGGCAUUCAACUAAGGUGGCCCUGACGCUGAGGGACGAAAGCGUGGGGAGCAAAAAGGAUUAGAUACCCCGNUANUC
rnacentral:rRNA from 1 species